UUUAUGGAGAGUUUGAUCCUGGCUCAGGAUGAACGCUGGCGGCGUGCCUAAUACAUGCAAGUCGAGCGAACGGACGAGAAGCUUGCUUUUCUGAUGUUAGCGGCGGACGGGUGAGUAACACGUGGAUAACCUACCUAUAAGACUGGGAUAACUUCGGGAAACCGGAGCUAAUACCGGAUAAUAUUUUGAACCGCAUGGUUCAAAAGUGAAAGACGGUCUUGCUGUCACUUAUAGAUGGAUCCGCGCUGCAUUAGCUAGUUGGUAAGGUAACGGCUUACCAAGGCAACGAUGCAUAGCCGACCUGAGAGGGUGAUCGGCCACACUGGAACUGAGACACGGUCCAGACUCCUACGGGAGGCAGCAGUAGGGAAUCUUCCGCAAUGGGCGAAAGCCUGACGGAGCAACGCCGCGUGAGUGAUGAAGGUCUUCGGAUCGUAAAACUCUGUUAUUAGGGAAGAACAUAUGUGUAAGUAACUGUGCACAUCUUGACGGUACCUAAUCAGAAAGCCACGGCUAACUACGUGCCAGCAGCCGCGGUAAUACGUAGGUGGCAAGCGUUAUCCGGAAUUAUUGGGCGUAAAGCGCGCGUAGGCGGUUUUUUAAGUCUGAUGUGAAAGCCCACGGCUCAACCGUGGAGGGUCAUUGGAAACUGGAAAACUUGAGUGCAGAAGAGGAAAGUGGAAUUCCAUGUGUAGCGGUGAAAUGCGCAGAGAUAUGGAGGAACACCAGUGGCGAAGGCGACUUUCUGGUCUGUAACUGACGCUGAUGUGCGAAAGCGUGGGGAUCAAACAGGAUUAGAUACCCUGGUAGUCCACGCCGUAAACGAUGAGUGCUAAGUGUUAGGGGGUUUCCGCCCCUUAGUGCUGCAGCUAACGCAUUAAGCACUCCGCCUGGGGAGUACGACCGCAAGGUUGAAACUCAAAGGAAUUGACGGGGACCCGCACAAGCGGUGGAGCAUGUGGUUUAAUUCGAAGCAACGCGAAGAACCUUACCAAAUCUUGACAUCCUUUGACAACUCUAGAGAUAGAGCCUUCCCCUUCGGGGGACAAAGUGACAGGUGGUGCAUGGUUGUCGUCAGCUCGUGUCGUGAGAUGUUGGGUUAAGUCCCGCAACGAGCGCAACCCUUAAGCUUAGUUGCCAUCAUUAAGUUGGGCACUCUAAGUUGACUGCCGGUG
rnacentral:rRNA from 1 species